AUUAAACGCUGGCGGCAUGCCUUACACAUGCAAGUCGAACGGCAGCAUGGUCUAGCUUGCUAGACUGAUGGCGAGUGGCGAACGGGUGAGUAACGCGUAGGAAUAUACCUUAUAGAGGGGGAUAACCUGGGGAAACUCAGGCUAAUACCGCAUGUUAUCUAAGGAUUAAAGCUGGGGACCUUAGGGCCUGGCGCUAUAAGAAUAGCCUGCGUCCGAUUAGCUAGUUGGUGGGGUAAAGGCCUACCAAGGCGACGAUCGGUAGCUGGUCUGAGAGGAUGAUCAGCCACACUGGGACUGAGACACGGCCCAGACUCCUACGGGAGGCAGCAGUGGGGAAUAUUGGACAAUGGGGGCGAACCCUCGAUCCAGCAAUGCCGCGUGUGUGAAGAAGG
rnacentral:rRNA from 1 species